CGGCAGCACGGGAGCAAUCCUGGUGGCGAGUGGCGAACGGGUGAGUAAUACAUCGGAACGUGUCCUGUAGUGGGGGAUAGCCCGGCGAAAGCCGGAUUAAUACCGCAUACGCUCUACGGAGGAAAGGGGGGGAUCUCAGGACCUCUCGCUACAGGGGCGGCCGAUGGCAGAUUAGCUAGUUGGUGGGGUAAAGGCCUACCAAGGCGACGAUCUGUAGCUGGUCUGAGAGGACGACCAGCCACACUGGGACUGAGACACGGCCCAGACUCCUACGGGAGGCAGCAGUGGGGAAUUUUGGACAAUGGGCGCAAGCCUGAUCCAGCAAUGCCGCGUGUGUGAAGAAGGCCUUCGGGUUGUAAAGCACUUUUGUCCGGAAAGAAAUCCUUUGAGCUAAUACCUCGGGGGGAUGACGGUACCGGAAGAAUAAGCACCGGCUAACUACGUGCCAGCAGCCGCGGUAAUACGUAGGGUGCAAGCGUUAAUCGGAAUUACUGGGCGUAAAGCGUGCGCAGGCGGUUCGCUAAGACAGAUGUGAAAUCCCCGGGCUUAACCUGGGAACUGCAUUUGUGACUGGCGGGCUAGAGUAUGGCAGAGGGGGGUAGAAUUCCACGUGUAGCAGUGAAAUGCGUAGAGAUGUGGAGGAAUACCGAUGGCGAAGGCAGCCCCCUGGGCCAAUACUGACGCUCAUGCACGA
rnacentral:rRNA from 1 species